GACGAACGCUGGCGGCGUGCUUAACACAUGCAAGUCGAACGGAAAGGCCCUGCUUUUGUGGGGUGCUCGAGUGGCGAACGGGUGAGUAACACGUGAGUAACCUGCCCUUGACUUUGGGAUAACUUCAGGAAACUGGGGCUAAUACCGGAUAGGAGCUCCUGCUGCAUGGUGGGGGUUGGAAAGUUUCGGCGGUUGGGGAUGGACUCGCGGCUUAUCAGCUUGUUGGUGGGGUAGUGGCUUACCAAGGCUUUGACGGGUAGCCGGCCUGAGAGGGUGACCGGCCACAUUGGGACUGAGAUAGGGCCCAGAGUGCUACGGGAGGCAGCAGUGGGGAAUAUUGCGCAAUGGGCGGAAGCCUGAUGCAGCAACGCCGCGUGCGGGAUGACGGCCUUCGGGUUGUAAACCGCUUUCGCCUGUGACGAAGCGUGAGUGACGGUAAUGGGUAAAGAAGCACCGGCUAACUACGUG
rnacentral:rRNA from 1 species